UACGGGGGGGGCAAGCGUUGUUCGGAAUUACUGGGCGUAAAGGGCUCGUAGGCGGCCAACUAAGUCAGACGUGAAAUCCCUCGGCUUAACCGGGGAACUGCAUCUGAUACUGGAUGGCUUGAGUUCGGGAGAGGGAUGCGGAAUUCCAGGUGUAGCGGUGAAAUGCGUAGAUAUCAAGAGGAACACCAGUGGCGAAGGCGAGUCCCUGGACAAUACCUGACACUGAGGCACGAAAGCCGGGGGAGCAAACAGG
rnacentral:rRNA from 1 species